UUAUUCUGUUGGUGUUGUUUUAUGUACAUCAAUCGGAUCAAAGCCCAGUUGAUGUUGAAACACAUGAAGUAAAUCGACGAUUUGAUGAUGGUUGUGGUUUUUGUAUCGAUGCAACUCACAGAAAUCUCCAUUACUGGAUAGAAUAUAUAAAUAAUGCAACCAUUGCCACCAAUGAAACGUGUACAAGUUUCUGUGCUAAGAUACCAGAUAUAGAAGCUGCCUUGGUUUGCGAUUUAUACUGUCCACAAUAUCAAUUAAACAACUUUCUGAAUUUUAUUAAAGGAUCGUAUAAAGAUCCUGUGUAUUUUUGUGAACAAGCUAGUGAAUGUUUUGAUUCGCCUGGAGGUGCUGCUGAUGUUUACAAGAUUCAGAUUAGUCCUAAAGUCGGGAGAGCAGGAGUUGCGCGAUUUUUUGAAAUAUUGUAUAAUGUGACAAAACCUUUGGGUCCUGGUCAGUUCAUAAUCUCUGUUGAAACAGUUGAUGGUGUACCGUAUAAAAUAUCUCAGUUUACAGAUGGGACACCUACAGGACUGUACGGAAUGUCCUCUAUUAUAGAUACAGUUAAAAAAGCUGAUUGUCAUCCUAGUGUUAAACCGUGUGAAACCUGGAAACCUGGAAAAUACACA